rnacentral:misc_RNA from 1 species
GGAAGUUUGCUAUAUUUGACAGCUUCUAGACCAGAUUUAAUGUACCCUGCUAGAUUACUAUCUAGGUAUAUGCAUUCACCAAGUCAAAUUCACUUAGCUGCUGCUAAAAGAAUAUUGAGAUACCUUGGAGAUUCUGCAAACUAUGGUGUUUGGUAUUUAAAGGGAAAGGAAGUUAAGCUUGAAGGUUUUGUGGACAGUGACUGGGCAAG